rnacentral:rRNA from 1 species
UCCUGGUGUGUGGUGGAAAGCUUUUGCGGUGUGGGAUGGGCCCGCGGCCUAUCAGCUUGUUGGUGGGGUAAUGGCCUACCAAGGCGACGACGGGUAGCCGGCCUGAGAGGGUGACCGGCCACACUGGGACUGAGAUACGGCCCAGACUCCUACGGGAGGCAGCAGUGGGGAAUAUUGCACAAUGGGCGCAAGCCUGAUGCAGCGACGCCGCGUGAGGGAUGACGGCCUUCGGGUUGUAAACCUCUUUCAAUAGGGACGAAGCGCAAGUGACGGUACCUAUAGAAGAAGGACCGGCCAACUACGUGCCAGCAGCCGCGGUAAUACGUAGGGUCCGAGCGUUGUCCGGAAUUACUGGGCGUAAAGAGCUCGUAGGUGGUUUGUCGCGUUGUUCGUGAAAACUCACAGCUUAACUGUGGGCGUGCGGGCGAUACGGGCAGACUAGAGUACUGCAGGGGAGACUGGAAUUCCUGGUGUAGCGGUGGAAUGCGCAGAUAUCAGGAGGAACACCGGUGGCGAAGGCGGGUCUCUGGGCAGUAACUGACGCUGAGGAGCGAAAGCGUGGGGAGCGAACAGGAUUAGAUACCCUGGUAGUCCACGCCGUAAACGGUGGGUACUAGGUGUGGGUUUCCUUCCUUGGGAUCCGUGCCGUAGCUAACGCAUUAAGUACCCCGCCUGGGGAGUACGGCCGCAAGGCUAAAACUCAAAGAAAUUGACGGGGGCCCGCACAAGCGGCGGAGCAUGUGGAUUAAUUCGAUGCAACGCGAAGAACCUUACCUGGGUUUGACAUGCACAGGACGCCGGCAGAGAUGUCGGUUCCCUUGUGGCCUGUGUGCAGGUGGUGCAUGGCUGUCGUCAGCUCGUGUCGUGAGAUGUUGGGUUAAGUCCCGCAACGAGCGCAACCCUUGUCUCAUGUUGCCAGCACGUAAUGGUGGGGACUCGUGAGAGACUGCCGGGGUCAACUCGGAGGAAGGUGGGGAUGACGUCAAGUCAUCAUGCCCCUUAUGUCCAGGGCUUCACACAUGCUACAAUGGCCGGUACAAAGGGCUGCGAUGCCGUGAGGUGGAGCGAAUCCUUUCAAAGCCGGUCUCAGUUCGGAUCGGGGUCUGCAACUCGACCCCGUGAAGUCGGAGUCGCUAGUAAUCGCAGAUCAGCAACGCUGCGGUGAAUACGUUCCCGGGCCUUGUACACACCGCCCGUCACGUCAUGAAAGUCGGUAACACCCGAAGCCGGUGGCCUAACCCCUUGUGGGAGGGAGCCGUCGAAGGUGGGAUCGGCGAUUGGGACGAAGUCGUAACAAGGUAGCCGUACCGGAAGGUGCGGCUG